rnacentral:rRNA from 1 species
UACGUAGGUGGCAAGCGUUGUCCGGAUUUACUGGGCGUAAAGAGCGCGCAGGCGGUCGUUCAAGUCGCGUGUGAAAGCCCCCGGCUCAACUGGGGAGGGUCACGCGAUACUGCUCGACUCGAAGGCAGGAGAGGGAAGUGGAAUUCCCGGUGUAGUGGUGAAAUGCGUAGAUAUCGGGAGGAACACCAGUGGCGAAGGCGACUUCCUGGCCUGUUCUUGACGCUGAGGCGCGAAAGCGAGGGUAGCAAACGGG